CAUAUAGAGUGAGAGUUGCGACAACUCCAUUGACUCCAAUGGAACGCUUUUUUUUUACAGCAAUGGCGGCUCGUGGAGCCUCUCAAUAGUUCCCGGAAGUAGCAGCAAACCUAUACCGCGCCGUAGAGAUGCAGCAGAACAAACCGUUUGCGACGCACUUUUAACAGACCCAGGUAACUGGCUGAUGGUUCACAGGAAUGCUGACUGGCUGCUGGUUGACUGGGCUGUGUCACCUGUCCCUGUCUCUCCUCUCUAGCCAUGUCCUUUUUCUUCACUCUCACUUUCCCUUCUCUGAGUGUCCUCGUUCUUUUUUCCUCAACCUUUGAAACUGAUAGAGGUAGAAUACAUGGUUUUGCUAAUUUUAAAUAUUGAAAAUAUCACAUCACUUUACUUCAACUAGUACGAGUUUGUACUUAUUAUAUAUGAAUCACCUGAAAUAACAUAGCUGUAAUCAGUAGCCAUUUCUUGUAUGUUCACAGGUCUAGGGGUGCAUCGUGGAGCAGGGCCCUCCUCUUUUUGACCACAGGACGAUGUACAAAGAUUGUGGGAAUAGCAUCUGGUCUCAGCCUACUCUUGAAUUUUUUGGUCAUGACAAAUUGCUUUGCCGCAAUUUGUCUGCAUACUGACUUCAGUUUAGUUUCCACACACACCUUUUUUUUGUCUACCCACUUACAGUACAUAUCACAUGGUGGUUAAAUGCACAGUUAUAGGUAACACUGAUGACUCCCUGCAAUGUCUCACCAUGAGUCUCAGCUCCCUGGGUUUUGCAAGGCUUUGCUUGUUCCUUAUUUCUAGUAAAACAUUGUCAAUGUAAAAAAGUGCAAAUAAAUGUAAGUAUAAUUACCUAACAA